GAUGAACGCUGGCGGCGUGCCUAAUACAUGCAAGUCGAGCGAACGGACGAGAAGCUUGCUUCUCUGAUGUUAGCGGCGGACGGGUGAGUAACACGUGGAUAACCUACCUAUAAGACUGGGAUAACUUCGGGAAACCGGAGCUAAUACCGGAUAAUAUUUUGAACCGCAUGGUUCAAAAGUGAAAGACGGUCUUGCUGUCACUUAUAGAUGGAUCCGCGCUGCAUUAGCUAGUUGGUAGGGUAACGGCUUACCAAGGCAACGAUGCAUAGCCGACCUGAGAGGGUGAUCGGCCACACUGGAACUGAGACACGGUCCAGACUCCUACGGGAGGCAGCAGUAGGGAAUCUUCCGCAAUGGGCGAAAGCCUGACGGAGCAACGCCGCGUGAGUGAUGAAGGUCUUCGGAUCGUAAAACUCUGUUAUUAGGGAAGAACAUAUGUGUAAGUAACUGUGCACAUCUUGACGGUACCUAAUCAGAAAGCCACGGCUAACUACGUGCCAGCAGCCGCGGUAAUACGUAGGUGGCAAGCGUUAUCCGGAAUUAUUGGGCGUAAAGCGCGCGUAGGCGGUUUUUUAGUCUGAUGUGAAAGCCCACGGCUCAACCGUGGAGGGUCAUUGGAAACUGGAAAACUUGAGUGCAGAAGAGGAAAGUGGAAUUCCAUGUGUAGCGGUGAAAUGCGCAGAGAUAUGGAGGAACACCAGUGGCGAAGGCGACUUUCUGGUCUGUAACUGACGCUGAUGUGCGAAAGCGUGGGGAUCAAACAGGAUUAGAUACCCUGGUAGUCCACGCCGUAAACGAUGAGUGCUAAGUGUUAGGGGGUUUCCGCCCCUUAGUGCUGCAGCUAACGCAUUAAGCACUCCGCCUGGGGAGUACGACCGCAAGGUUGAAACUCAAAGGAAUUGACGGGGACCCGCACAAGCGGUGGAGCAUGUGGUUUAAUUCGAAGCAACGCGAAGAACCUUACCAAAUCUUGACAUCCUUUGACAACUCUAGAGAUAGAGCCUUCCCCUUCGGGGGACAAAGUGACAGGUGGUGCAUGGUUGUCGUCAGCUCGUGUCGUGAGAUGUUGGGUUUAGUCCCGCAACGAGCGCAACCCUUAAGCUUAGUUGCCAUCAUUAAGUUGGGCACUCUAAGUUGACUGCCGGUGACAAACCGGAGGAAGGUGGGGAUGACGUCAAAUCAUCAUGCCCCUUAUGAUUUGGGCUACACACGUGCUACAAUGGACAAUACAAAGGGCAGCGAAACCGCGAGGUCAAGCAAAUCCCAUAAAGUUGUUCUCAGUUCGGAUUGUAGUCUGCAACUCGACUACAUGAAGCUGGAAUCGCUAGUAAUCGUAGAUCAGCAUGCUACGGUGAAUACGUUCCCGGGUCU
rnacentral:rRNA from 1 species